UACGGAGGGUGCAAGCGUUGCUCGGAAUUAUUGGGCGUAAAGGGCAGGUAGGUGGUCUCAUUUGUCUGGGGUGAAAUCCUUGAGCUUAACUCAAGAAGUGCCUCGGAAACGGUGAGACUGGAGUUUUGGAGAGGGUCGUGGAAUUCCCGGUGUAGCGGUGAAAUGCGUAGAGAUCGGGAGGAACACCAGAGGCGAAAGCAGGUUACUGGGCAUUAUCUGACGCUGAGGCGCGAAAGCGUGGGUAGCAAACAGG
rnacentral:rRNA from 1 species